rnacentral:rRNA from 1 species
UAAGGAAUAUUGGUCAAUGGACGCAAGUCUGAACCAGCCAUGCCGCGUGAAGGAUGAAGGUCCUCUGGAUUGUAAACUUCUUUUAUCUGGGACGAAAACGGGAUUUUUAUCUCAAUUGACGGUACCAGAGGAAUAAGCACCGGCUAACUCCGUGCCAGCAGCCGCGGUAAUACGAAGGAUGCAAGCGUUAUCCGGAAUUAUUGGGUUUAAAGGGUGCGUAGGCGGACUAAUAAGUCAGUGGUGAAAGCCUGCAGCUUAACUGCAGAAUUGCCAUUGAUACUGUUAGUCUUGAGUACAGUUGAGGUAGGCGGAAUGUGUCAUGUAGCGGUGAAAUGCUUAGAUAUGACACAGAACACCGAUUGCGAAGGCAGCUUGCUAAGCUGUAACUGACGCUGAGGCACGAAAGCGUGGGGAGCAAACA